rnacentral:rRNA from 1 species
AGAGUUUGAUCAUGGCUCAGGAUGAACGCUGGCGGCGUGCUUAACACAUGCAAGUCGAACGAGAACCAUUGGAUCGAGGAUUCGUCCAAGUGAAGGUGGGGAAAGUGGCGGACGGGUGAGUAACGCGUGAGCAAUCUGCCUUGGAGUGGGGAAUAACGGCUGGAAACAGCCGCUAAUACCGCAUGAUACAGCUGGGAGGCAUCUCCCUGGCUGUCAAAGAUUUAUCGCUCUGAGAUGAGCUCGCGUCUGAUUAGCUGGUUGGCGGGGUAACGGCCCACCAAGGCGACGAUCAGUAGCCGGACUGAGAGGUUGGCCGGCCACAUUGGGACUGAGACACGGCCCAGACUCCUACGGGAGGCAGCAGUGGGGAAUAUUGGGCAAUGGGCGCAAGCCUGACCCAGCAACGCCGCGUGAAGGAAGAAGGCUUUCGGGUUGUAAACUUCUUUUCUUGGGGACGAAGAAAGUGACGGUACCCAAGGAAUAAGCCACGGCUAACUACGUGCCAGCAGCCGCGGUAAUACGUAGGUGGCAAGCGUUAUCCGGAUUUAUUGGGUGUAAAGGGCGUG